rnacentral:rRNA from 1 species
UACGAAGGGGGGCUAGCGUUGUUCGGAUUUACUGGGCGUAAAAGCGCACGUAGGCGGAUUGGUCAGUUAGGGGGUGAAAAUCCUGGAGCUCAACUCCAGAACUGCCUUUAAUACUGCCAAUCUCGAGUCCGGAAGAGGUAAGUGGAACUCCUAGUGUAGAGGUGGAAUUCGUAGAUAUUAGGAAGAACACCAGUGGCGAAGGCGGCUUACUGGUCCGGUACUGACGCUGAGGUGCGAAAGCGUGGGGAGCAAACAGG